UUUCCGUAGGUGAACCUGCGGAAGGAUCAUUACCACACCCUUCAAAUAAAACGUUCGAGGUUUUCACGAACCUCGUUUGUUUUACGACCCGCGUACCGCUUUUCGGGGUUUUAUUUUUCACUAAGUAAACCCCAUUUUUUACACGCUGCUUCUUUUCUCUUUACGAGGAAAAAAGCAGGUCAGUGUUCUAUUCAGACCAUUUUACCUAUUCCUCAUGGAAUAAAAAAACCAAUUUGAUAUAGAACUUAUGAUAAUCUUUAUUCGAAAGAAUAACGAAAACCAACACUUUCAGCAACGGAUGUCUUGGCUCCC
rnacentral:misc_RNA from 1 species